AACCUUGGUUGGUUUGGGGACCAGGGUGUGAACAUCCUUUCAGGCUUUCAUGUUGCUCUCCUGAUCUCCAAGAAAUAUUCAAGGAGGAGAGGGUGAAAAAACUCUGCCGGGAGCUCCAUGGGAAAACGCAGGACGGCUCUUUCACACCUUGCAAAACACAUUAUGGCUGACAUGUUGGCUCCACACUUCUGGAAACCACUCUUCUCCCAUCUGAUCUCUGCAUCUCCAGGAUUUUAUGAAGCAAACACGUGAUUAUAAGAUUACGCAGCUGCAAACUGAGAACCAUAAUCAUGUGCGGUCGUGCAUAGUAGCAUGUUUCUUGUUUCAUUACUUGCAGAAAUAGCUUACUGCUUAAAAAAAUAGCAUCAAUGUCAGUUUGAGGGGACAGAAAUAACAUACACUGUGUUUCAUGAAGGGCCACGUUCUUUCACGUGGCAUGAAAUGUUCAGGGUUAACUGUAUCUAAAGUUUUCAGAUAUCCGUUCUGAAGUGUAUUCAUGUAUUUAUUACUUUUGCUCCAAAGAUUAAAACACAGCCAUCUGGA